CUCAGAUUGAACGCUGGCGGCAUGCCUUACACAUGCAAGUCGAACGGCAGCACGGGGCAACCUGGUGGCGAGUGGCGAACGGGUGAGUAAUGCAUCGGAACGUGCCAUUGAGUGGGGGAUAACGUAGCGAAAGUUGCGCUAAUACCGCAUAUUCUGUGAGCAGGAAAGCAGGGGACCGCAAGGCCUUGCGCUCUUUGAGCGGCCGAUGUCAGAUUAGCUAGUUGGUGAGGUAACGGCUUACCAAGGCGACGAUCUGUAGCGGGUCUGAGAGGAUGAUCCGCCACACUGGAACUGAGACACGGUCCAGACUCCUACGGGAGGCAGCAGUGGGGAAUUUUGGACAAUGGGCGCAAGCCUGAUCCAGCCAUGCCGCGUGAGUGAAGAAGGCCUUCGGGUUGUAAAGCUCUUUCGGCCGGGAAGAAAUCGCAUGGGUUAAUACCCUGUGUGGAUGACGGUACCGGAAUAAGAAGCACCGGCUAACUACGUG
rnacentral:rRNA from 1 species